CUGAUAUCGAUAUUUGUUAUCUGAAUGAAUGUAGAUGGAUUGGUGAUACAUGGAGACGUAUAAAGAUUCUUCUCAUGUUAAGAAUAUGUGCUGAUGAAGGACAACAGGUUUUCUUACAUCAGUUGAUACAUGCCAUGCUGGAGGAAGGCUUAUAUAUCGUGGAUAAUAGUCAUUUUACAUUGUUUAUGUACCUCUGGAUGUGUCCCCAAAUUUUAAAG